UACGGAGGGUGCAAGCGUUAUCCGGAUUCACUGGGUUUAAAGGGUGCGUAGGUGGCUUUGUAAGUUAGUGGUGAAAUCUUAGAGCUUAACUCUAAAACUGCCAUUGAUACUGCUUAGCUUGAAUCAAGUAGAGGUGGAUGGAAUAUUACAUGUAGCGGUGAAAUGCUUAGAUAUGUAAUAGAACACCGAUUGCGAAGGCAGUUCACUAUGCUUGUAUUGACACUGAGGCACGAAAGCGUGGGGAGCGAACAGG
rnacentral:rRNA from 1 species